AAAGGCAGAAGGGAGCUUAACUGCGAGACCAACAAGUCGAGCAGAUGCGAAAGCAGGACUUAGUGAUCCGGUGGUACCGAGUGGAAGGGCCAUCGCUCAACGGAUAAAAGCUACCCCGGGGAUAACAGGCUUAUCUCCCCCAAGAGUCCACAUCGACGGGGAGGUUUGGCACCUCGAUGUCGGCUCGUCUCAUCCUGGGGCUGAAGUAGGUCCCAAGGGUUGGGCUGUUCGCCCAUUAAAGAGGCACGCGAGCUGGGUUCAGAACGUCGCGAGACAGUUCGGUCCCUAUCCGUCGUGGGCGUAGGAAAUUUGAGAGGAGCUGUCCUUAGUACGAGAGGACCGGGAUGGACAAACCGCUGGUGAACCAGUUGUACUGCCAAGUGCAUAGCUGGGAAGCUAAGUUUGGAAGGGAUAAGAGCUGAAGGCAUCUAAGCACGAAGCCCCCCUCGAGAUGAGAUUUCCCUCGAAAGAUAAGACCCCUUGAAGAAAACGAGGUAGAUAGGCUCAAGGUGUAAGUGUAGCAAUACAUUAAGCUAGCGAGUACUAAUAGGUCGAAGACUUGACCAAAA
rnacentral:rRNA from 1 species